CACGUAGGGGGCAAGCGUUGUCCGGAUUUAUUGGGCGUAAAGAGCUCGUAGGCGGCUCAGUAAGUCAGGUGUGAAACCUCCAGGCUCAACCUGGAGACGCCACCUGAUACUGCUGUGGCUAGAGUCCGGUAGGGGAGCGUGGAAUUCCUGGUGUAGUGGUGAAAUGCGCAGAUAUCAGGAGGAACACCAGCGGCGAAGGCGGCGCUCUGGGCCGGAACUGACGCUGAGGAGCGAAAGCGUGGGUAGCAAACAGG
rnacentral:rRNA from 1 species